rnacentral:tRNA from 1 species
GGCUCCAUAGUGUAAUGGUUAGCACGUCUGCUUUACAUGCAGAAGAUCCUGGAUUCGCGCCCCAGGUGGAGUCA